CUCAGGCAGCGCUUUGGAGGAGGUUAUUGGGAAAAAUAUCUUCCUAGUCACUUGAGCACAUGACUCUGUCUAAUCUAACCAAAGUAGGAGACACUUGGUGCAGCGCUUUGGAGGAGGUUAUUGGGAAAAAUAUCUUCCUAGUCACUUGAGCACAGGACUCUGUCUAAUCUAACCAAAGUAGGAGACACUUGGUGAUUAGACCAGGUAUAUUUACGCCCUAUUAGAGGCAGGUCAAUAAGACUUGUAUCAUCAAUAAAUUUCCUGAAUCUCCCCAUUAUGGCUCUAUUGCAAAAAGCGUUGUUUUUGUCAUCCUCUUUGUAUAUAAGAUUGAAGUCCCCUGAAACAACCCAAGGCCCAUGACACUCUGCUAUGAUCUGUCUGAGUUCUAGCAGGAAGGAGAUAUUAUCUUCAUUGCUUUGGGGACCAUAGACAUUGGUUAACCACCAAUGCUGGCCAUUGGAGUUUUUGAACUGCACAGAUACGCUGAAAUUGUCCACUCUACUCAAUCCUGUGACUUGUAAAUGGCUCUUCCAGGCCACAAGAAUUCCUCCGCUGGCACCCAAAGAGGGUAAGUAGACAAAAUGCUCGAAGUUUACUCCCAGAAUGGCUAUCACUUUGAAUCUGGUAAUUUCCUGCAUCUUAGUCUCUUGCAAACAAACAAUGUCCACUCCCAGGGAAUCUAUAAAACUGCGAACAGAACUCUG
rnacentral:lncRNA from 1 species